rnacentral:rRNA from 1 species
UAUAGAUUUAAAUUAGAUAAUUGAGUAGUAAUAGAGUUCUUGAAACUUAAAGAGUUUGGCGGUAUUUAAGUCUUUUUAGAGGAACCUGUAGUUUAAUCGAUAAUCCCCGUAAUAUCUAACCUUAAUAAUAAAGUUUGUAUAUCGUUGUCCAUAGAAUAAUCUUGAAGGAUAUUUUCUAAAAGUUUAGAAUCCCUAUGUCAAAUCAAGGUGCAGCUAUAUUUGGGUAUGAUUGGGUUACAAUGCUUAGUGUAAACGGAGUAAAGAAUGAAAAUAAAUAUGAAGGUGGAUUUAAUUGUAAAUAAUUUUCAAAAAGGAUUUUUGAAAUAGUACUAAAAUAUGC